ACUCAAAUGAAUAGACGGGGGCCUGCACAAGCGGUGGAGUAUGUGGCUUAAUUCGAUGCAACGCGAAGAACCUUACCUGGCCUUGACAUGUACGUAGUAGAAGGGUGAAAGCCCGACGAGGUAGCAAUACCAGCGUACACAGGUGCUGCAUGGCUGUCGUCAGCUCGUGUCGUGAGAUGUUGGGUUAAGUCCCGCAACGAGCGCAACCCUUGCGUCCAGUUGCCGCUCGGACGAGAGUUCGAAGCACUCUGGACGGACUGCCUCAUUUAAAUGAGGAGGAAGGUGGGGAUGACGUCAAGUCAGUAUGGCCCUUACGGCCAGGGCUGCACACGUACUACAAUGCCCGGCACAGAGGGAAGCAAGAGCGUGAGCUGGAGCAAAUCCCUUAAAACCGGGCCCAGUUCAGAUUGUCGUCUGCAACUCGACGGCAUGAAGCCGGAAUCGCUAGUAAUGGCGCAUCAGCUACGGCGCCGUGAAUACGUUCCCAGGCCUUGUACACACCGCCCGU
rnacentral:rRNA from 1 species